AUACAGAGGGUGCGAGCGUUAAUCGGAAUUACCGGGCGUAAAGCGCGCGUAGGCGGCUACUUAAGUCAGAUGUGAAAUCCCCGGGCUCAACCUGGGAACUGCAUCUGAUACUGGGUAGCUAGAGUUUAGGAGAGGGAAGUAGAAUUUCAGGUGUAGCGGUGAAAUGCAUAGAGAUCUGAAGGAAUACCAGUGGCGAAGGCGGCUUCCUGGCCUAAAACUGACGCUGAGGUGCGAAAGCGUGGGUAGCAAACGGGAUUAGAAACCCCGGUAGUCC
rnacentral:rRNA from 1 species